GACGAACGCUGGCGGCGUGCUUAACGCAUGCAAGUCGAACGGAAAGGCCCUGCCUUGGUGGGGUGCUCGAGUGGCGAACGGGUGAGUAACACGUGAGUAACCUGCCCCUGACUUUGGGAUAACUUCAGGAAACUGGGGCUAAUACCGGAUAGGAGCUCCUGCUGCAUGGGGGGGGUUGGAAAGUUUCGGCGGUUGGGGAUGGACUCGCGGCUUAUCAGCUUGUUGGUGGGGUAGUGGCUUACCAAGGCGUUGACGGGUAGCCGGCCUGAGAGGGUGACCGGCCACACUGGGACUGAGAUACGGCCCAGACUCCUACGGGAGGCAGCAGUGGGGAAUAUUGCACAAUGGGCGGAAGCCUGAUGCAGCGACGCCGCGUGCGGGAUGACGGCCUUCGGGUUGUAAACCGCUUUCGCCUGUGACGAAGCGUGAGUGACGGUAAUGGGUAAAGAAGCACCGGCUAACUACGUG
rnacentral:rRNA from 1 species